AUGGCUGCUUCUCCACCUUCUGAAAUUUUAUGUAUGCCAGGAGAUUUAAUAUUAUUAAUGAGUGAUGGUGUAUGUGAUAAUUUAUUUGAUGAAGAAAUUGAAGCAUAUUGUACUUUUGCUAUUAGUCCUGAAGAAGCAUGUGAAUUAGGAGAUGCGAGUCUUUUUACUCCAGCACAAGAUAUAGCAUAUUCAAUUACAAAUAUAGCAAAAAGAAGAAGUGGUGAUAAAUUACAUUGUAAGCCAUUUUUACCUGCUCUUGCAAAAUUAAGACAACCUGAUAUGACAUAUAAAGGAUUAAAAAAAGAUGAUAUUUCUUGUGUUGCUAUUUGGGUAGUUUGUGAAACAGAAGAAAGUGUUAAACAUAUAGCUACAAAUCCGAAUGAACCAUCAAUUUUAGCAACAGAUAAAUAUUAUACAAAUAGUUAUUAUAGUCAGUUUAACAGAAUAACAGAUACUUGUACACCUACAAAACCAUAUAUUAUAGAUCAACAUAGAAUUGGACGAGUAGAAUUAGAGGAAAAUCAUAGAAAUAGUGCAUGGAAUCAUACAAUGUAUCAGACAGAAGGUCCACCUUCAAACUUUGGUAAUGACAAUAACAUGUUAAAUCCAUGUAAUAGGGAUAUAUUAUUUGAUACUGAUGAAACACCUAUUAAAGAUAUGGCACAAAAAUGUGAUAAUAAUGAUGAUAGUUCAAGUAGUUAUAGAGAUUUGAAAGAUAUGGAAUUAAAUGACCCAGAUGAAGAUGAAGAUGCAGAGGAGGAUGAUGAUGAUGAAGAAAAAGAAGGAGAAGAUAAUUUAGAUUCUAAAGAUAUUGAAUAUUCAAAUAAAGAUCUUAAAAAUGUCGACACCGAUGCUUUUGAUGGCACAAUGUCAGGAAUAAUGAUUUUUGAAACCCCAAAAAAAACAAAUAUUAAAACUUAUGAAACUAGACCUACAAAAAAAAUCAACAACCAAAACGAUUUUAUGGAUAAUAUUCUAAAUACUGAAACACCUCAAAAAAUACGUAAUACUAAUAAUAAUU
ensembl:lncRNA